GACGAACGCUGGCGGCGUGCCUAAUACAUGCAAGUAGAACGCACAGUUUAUACCGUAGCUUGCUACACCAUAGACUGUGAGUUGCGAACGGGUGAGUAACGCGUAGGUAACCUGCCUGGUAGCGGGGGAUAACUAUUGGAAACGAUAGCUAAUACCGCAUAAUAUUAAUUAUUGCAUGAUAAUUAAUUGUAAGGUGCAAUUGCACCACUACCAGAUGGACCUGCGUUGUAUUAGCUAGUAGGUGAGGUAACGGCUCACCUAGGCGACGAUACAUAGCCGACCUGAGAGGGGGAGCGGCCACACUGGGAUUGAGACACGGCCCAGACUACUACGGGAGGGAGCAGUAGGGAAUCUUCGGCAAUGGAAGAAAGUCUGACCGAGCAACGCCGCGUGAGUGAAGAAGGUUUUCGGAUCGUAAAGCUCAGUUGUAAGAGAAGAACGGGUGUGAGAGUGGAAAGUUCACACUGUGACGGUAGCUUACCAGAAAGGGACGGCUAACUACGUG
rnacentral:rRNA from 1 species